CAUACCUACAACUGUUGCUUCGGCGGGUAGGCCGUCCCCUGAAAAGGACGCCUCCCGGCCCGGACCGGACCCCCCGCGGGACCGGACCCGGCGCCCGCCGGAGGAUAACCAAACUCUAUUGUAACGACGUUUCUUCUGAGUGGCAUAAGCAAAAUAAUCAAAACUUUUAACAACGGAUCUCUUGGUUCUGGCAUCGAUGAAGAACGCAGCGAAAUGCGAUAAGUAAUGUGAAUUGCAGAAUUCAGUGAAUCAUCGAAUCUUUGAACGCACAUUGCGCCCGCCAGCAUUCUGGCGGGCAUGCCUGUUCGAGCGUCAUUUCAACCCUCAAGCUCUGCUUGGUGUUGGGGCUCUACGGUCGACGUAGGCCCUCAAAGGUAGUGGCGGACCCUCCCGGAGCCUCCUUUGCGUAGUAACAUUUCGUCUCGCACUGGGAUCCGGAGGGACUCUUGCCGUAAAACCCCCCAAUUUUCCAAAGGUUGACCUCGGAUCAGGUAGGAAUACCCGCUGAACUUAAGCAUAUCAA
rnacentral:rRNA from 1 species